UACGUAGGGACCAAGCGUUGUUCGGAUUUACUGGGCGUAAAGGGCGCGUAGGCGGCAAUUCAAGUCAGCUGUGAAAUCUCCGGGCUUAACUCGGAACGGUCAGGUGAUACUGCUUUGCUAGAGUGCGGAAGGGGCAAUCGGAAUUCUCGGUGUAGCGGUGAAAUGCGUAGAUAUCGAGAGGAACACCUGAGGUGAAGACGGGUUGCUGGGCCGACACUGACGCUGAGGCGCGAAAGCCAGGGUAGCAAACGGG
rnacentral:rRNA from 1 species